rnacentral:lncRNA from 1 species
AUGUGUUGUGGUGACUGGAAUACAGGCGGUUGUCCUGGUGACUCGGACAGAGGCUGUUGUCGUAGUGACUGGGACAGAGGCUAUUUUGGUGACAGGGACAGAGGCUGUUGUCGUGGUGACAGGGACAGAGGCUGUUGUCGUGGUGACAGGGACAGAGGCUGUUGUCGUGGUGAUUGGGACAGAGGCUGUUGUCGUGGUGAUUGGGACAGGGCUUGUCAUUGUGGUGACUGGGACAGAGGCGUGUUAAACAGAGGCGUUGUUACGUUAAAGCCUGUUCUAAAAUGGAUACAAAAAAAUAUAUAAAACAAUCUUCAAUCUACACACAAUACCCCAUAAUGACAAAGCAAAAACAGUUCCGAUUCUUUUCUCUCACAUAUAUUACAAAUAAUAAACAGAAAUACCUUACUUAACAACGUGCCUUGCGAAAGUAUUCGCCCCCUUGAACUUUGCGACCUUUUGCCACAUUUCAGGCUUCAAACAUAAAGAUAUAAAACUGUAUUUUUUUGUGAAGAU